rnacentral:rRNA from 1 species
CGGGCGGCCGGCGUUCACGGUGGGAGAACGCGCGCCCCCGCGUUUCGGAGAAAAGAGGUGUUCCCGGAACCCCCCCCUUUUUCCUCCCUCUCAAGCUGGAACUUUAGGAUUUGUUGGGGGAGCUCCCCGACGGGUGGAGCUUCGGUUUAAUAGGGAUAAAAGCCGGGCAGCUCUCCGGAUAGGACAGCGGAAUGAUAGCCGGGCUGAAGACCUUGCUUGACCAGCUGCGAGGAGGUGCAUGGCCGUCGUCUUUUUCUUUUUCUGAAGCAUCCAGGUUAGUCAGGCAACGAGCGAGACCCAUAAUUUUUUUUUCUGUCCUGUCUGAACAGAGGCCUUCCCCCAUUUUUCCCUCUAGUGAGUCUUAUUACAGCUUCUGCCCCCAUUUCUUCCACC